rnacentral:rRNA from 1 species
CGGACGGGUGAGUAACACGUGGAUAACCUACCUAUAAGACUGGGAUAACUUAGGGAAACCGGAGCUAAUACCGGAUAAUAUAUUGAACCGCAUGGUUCAAUAGUGAAAGACGGUUUUGCUGUCACUUAUAGAUGGAUCCGCGCCGCAUUAGCUAGUUGGUAAGGUAACGGCUUACCAAGGCAACGAUGCGUAGCCGACCUGAGAGGGUGAUCGGCCACACUGGAACUGAGACACGGUCCAG